rnacentral:lncRNA from 1 species
ACGUGCUGGAGGCAGUGCUGUCCUUGGGCAGUGAUGUUCUUCCUCUUCUCUCUCUCCAACUCUGCAGGUGCCAAAGGAAACCAAUGAAAUCCAGGAUUCAUCUACUCAGGACUCCAGACUCACCAGUUCAGAUUUGGCCCCGGGGCCACCUUGGCCGUGGGAGGACACCCAGGGACACCUCAGCCUCCAGCCUGGUGGGAGUGCCCUGGCUUCCCUCCCUGCUCACGAGAUGCCAUCAGCUGAGGAGGAGGAGGAGGAGGAGGAGGGCAGCUUUUCCAUCGAGGAUGAAGGCUUUGAGCUGCUGAACUCCACCUACAAUAAAAUCACCAGCCCUGACAGGCCAGAGCUCAGGAGAGCCUCAGGAGCCUCCAUCAAGCCCCCCCGAGCAGCCAAGAAGGAGCAUGGCCCAGAGCCCCGGGAGGAGAACAUCACCACGGAGAAGCUGUUGGGGGCCACGGGCAAAGCCCGCCCGGAGCCCUUCCCCAAGGAGGCCCCCCCUGCUCAUCGGGGGGCUGCUCCCAAAGGAAACCUCCCCAAAGGUCCCCUCAGGGCUGGGCUGGGUGGCCAGGAGCCUCCUCUUGGAUUGUGGGUGGCCCCCCAGGGCUGUGUGAAGCCGGGACCACCAGGGCUGCCGGGACCUCCGG